rnacentral:rRNA from 1 species
GCGGCGUGCUUAACACAUGCAAGUCGAACGGAAAGGCCCUGCUUUUGUGGGGUGCUCGAGUGGCGAACGGGUGAGUAACACGUGAGUAACCUGCCCUUGACUUUGGGAUAACUUCAGGAAACUGGGGCUAAUACCGGAUAGGAGCUCCUGCUGCAUGGUGGGGGUUGGAAAGUUUCGGCGGUUGGGGAUGGACUCGCGGCUUAUCAGCUUGUUGGUGGGGUAGUGGCUUACCAAGGCUUUGACGGGUAGCCGGCCUGAGAGGGUGACCGGCCACAUUGGGACUGAGAUACGGCCCAGACUCCUACGGGAGGCAGCAGUGGGGAAUAUUGCACAAUGGGCGGAAGCCUGAUGCAGCAACGCCGCGUGCGGGAUGACGGCCUUCGGGUUGUAAACCGCUUUCGCCUGUGACGAAGCGUGAGUGACGGUAAUGGGUAAAGAAGCACCGGCUAACUACGUGCCAGCAGCCGCGGUGAUACGUAGGGUGCGAGCGUUGUCCGGAUUUAUUGGGCGUAAAGGGCUCGUAGGUGGUUGAUCGCGUCGGAAGUGUAAUCUUGGGGCUUAACCCUGAGCGUGCUUUCGAUACGGGUUGACUUGAGGAAGGUAGGGGAGAAUGGAAUUCCUGGUGGAGCGGUGGAAUGCGCAGAUAUCAGGAGGAACACCAGUGGCGAAGGCGGUUCUCUGGGCCUUUCCUGACGCUGAGGAGCGAAAGCGUGGGGAGCGAACAGGCUUAGAUACCCUGGUAGUCCACGCUGUAAACGGUGGGUACUAGGUGUGGGGUCCAUUCCACGGGUUCCGUGCCGUAGCUAACGCUUUAAGUACCCCGCCUGGGGAGUACGGCCGCAAGGCUAAAACUCAAAGGAAUUGACGGGGCCCCGCACAAGCGGCGGAGCAUGCGGAUUAAUUCGAUGCAACGCGUAGAACCUUACCUGGGUUUGACAUGGAUCGGGAGUGCUCAGAGAUGGGUGUGCCUCUUUUGGGGUCGGUUCACAGGUGGUGCAUGGCUGUCGUCAGCUCGUGUCGUGAGAUGUUGGGUUAAGUCCCGCAACGAGCGCAACCCUUGUUCACUGUUGCCAGCACGUUAUGGUGGGGACUCAGUGGAGACCGCCGGGGUCAACCCGGAGGAAGGUGGGGAUGACGUCAAGUCAUCAUGCCCCUUAUGUCCAGGGCUUCACGCAUGCUACAAUGGCUGGUACAGAGAGUGGCGAGCCUGUGAGGGUGAGCGAAUCUCGGAAAGCCGGUCUCAGUUCGGAUUGGGGUCUGCAACUCGACCUCAUGAAGUCGGAGUCGCUAGUAAUCGCAGAUCAGCAACGCUGCGGUGAAUACGUUCCCGGGGCUUGUACACACCGCCCGUCAAGUCAUGAAAGUUGGUAACACCCGAAGCCGGUGGCCUAACCGUUGUGGGGGAGCCGUCGAAGGUGGGACUGGUGAUUAGGACUAAG